rnacentral:rRNA from 1 species
GUUAAUAUGGGGCAAGGAGUGGGGGGAAUAGGGAGUGGGGGAGCGUGAAUAGGAAUUAAGUGGAGGAAUGCGUGGGCAGGCGGUUUUGUAAGACAGGUGUGAAAUCCCCGGGCUGAACCUGGGAACGGCAUUUGUGACUGCAAAGCUGGAGUGCGGCAGAGGGGGAUGGAAUUCCGCGUGUAGCAGUGAAAUGCGUAGAUAUGCGGAGGAACACCGAUGGCGAAGGCAAUCCCCUGGGCCUGCACUGACGCUCAUGCACGAAAGCGUGGGGAGCAAACAGGAUUAGAUACCCCAGUAUUC